rnacentral:lncRNA from 1 species
CGGGCAGCACUGACACUCUGGAGAAGGUCUGCCUCUGUGUGCGCUGCCCCGGUUGCAUGCGAGCAGAUGAAUUCCACAGCUGGAACUGAGGCACAGAGCAAUAAACACAGUGGAGCCCAUCUCUGCCGUGGUGAGAGGGGGCAUCAGAAGUGACAACAAUGACAAGGACCCAAGGACCGUCCUUCUGACAAGUUUCAGCACUGAGUGUCUCCAGGAAAAAGGGGUUCCAUAAGAAGUGGCAUCCUCCUCCAGUUGAAAGAUUCUUGGGCUGAUGGAGUAAGUGAGUGACGGAGUGGGUUGCCAACUGUAGUUACUCCACUCAAUGCGGAAUGGCUGCAGGGAAUAUAUUCUGAUGUGCCCAAAGAAGUCUGCCCAGGGUGAAACAAAUACCUUUGAGGUUUAAAUCAGGUGUGUGAAGAAUGCUAGGGAGUCUCAUACUAAGUGAACUCAGUCAGAAAGAGAAAGACAAAUACCAUAUGAUAUCACUUAUAUGUGGAAUCUAAAAUGUGACACAAAUCAUCUUACCUGCAAAAGAGAAACUCACAGACAUAGACACACUUGUGGUUGCCAGUGGGGAGGCAGGCUGGGGAGAGAUGGAUUGGCAGUUUAUGAUUAGCAGAUGCAAACUAUUACAUAUAGGUUGGAUAAAUGAAGUCCUACCGUAUAGCACAGGGAGCUAUAGUCAUAAAUCAUAAUGGAAAAGAAUAUGAAAAAGAAUGUAUAUAUGAAUAAGUGAAUCACUUUGCUGUACAGCAGAAAUUAACGUUGUAAAUCAACCAUAUACUUCAAGAAAACUUUUAAACUGUAAAAAAUAAUGACAGUCACAAAACAAAAAGAAGGCUGGAAAUAUGACUUCUUGGGUUUUAGAUUUUGUUUUUUGUUUUUGUGUUUAUAUGUCUCAAGCAAAAUGGUGGCUCUUGACUGUUCUCCCAACUCUUGUAAUGUGGUAAAAUACAACCAAAAGUUUAACCCGCCCUCUCUCCUAGGAUUGGAUAUGCUAGACUCCACUGCCUGGAAAGGUCCUCUACUUUAUCAAAACUUUUGAUUUUAAAGGCAUGUUUGUGGCUUUUCAUAUUUAAAAAGCAUUUUGAUUCUGGAUAAAUUUUUAAACUGGGAAUUUAAGUUUGAUAGGCUUUAUUUUACCAUUUGUCUAUUUUCUUAGAAAAAAAUAACUACUAUUUAUAAUAUAGGAGUUAGCUACAAAAUUUUUAAUAAAAGUAUGUUCAAACUGUCUUUUAAAAUAUAUGUUCACAUUAUCCUUAAAAAGCUAAGUGGCUCAGAAAAAUCAAUCAAAGGUGACGUCUUUUUUUUUUUUUUUUUAGAAAACAUAAACACAUUUCCCUUAUAGGAAGAAGUUGUAUUUAAAAGCCUCUGUUUAAUUUAUUCAGAAACUACACGAUUUUUGUUGCUAUAUUUUGUUAUAAAGGAAGAGAGGCUGUUUCUACAGGUGUCAUAGAAAAGUCGAUGCUGAGCCAUGGAUUAUUGGAUCUCAUAGAACCACGGAGACUUGGCAGUAAAAUCCUUCCAAAGGCAGACGGUGUUCCUAGGUUUGGAAAUGUACCUCCCAGGGGAAGUGAGCUGAGGAACAUUUUAUGCAUCAUUCAUCCGGUUAUGAGCCCUUGCUGCUCCAUCUCUGCACAAGAUGUUGAAACAACAGCAACAACAAAAAUUGUUUAUAAUGUGUAUUCUAACUUUGGAUCAUCUGGUUAACGCCCUGAUGCUAUUACCCAGAAAGACAAUGCUCUGUCAGAAAAAACCAUUAAAGCUCGCUGCUGCGUGAUUAGUAAAAUAAUAGGGAAAGUUCAGCAUUCUGGAUGUCCCAUCUAAUGAGGUAAGAUUUUAUCAUGUCCCUUAAAUUGAGAUUACAUUUCAUUUUAUUUGUUAUUAUCCCAGCCUAAAGAAAGUUUUGCGUUUCAAUUUGACACGAAUCCAUGAUAUAAAGCUUUGUAUUCAUUGUCUCAUCUGUGACCAGUUUGAGGCAUUUAAAGCCAGGCUAUUUAAUGUAUUUUAUUUAUGAAUAAACUACAUUCUUUUCAAUGUUUUUCCAUCUUUUCCAGCUUAGACAAUUGUAACUCAGUAUGUCAUGCGUAUUUAAAUAAAAAUAAAUUAUGUACAUCAUUAUAAUCCUUAUGGGCGGGAAGGACGUACAUUGUCUAACCUUUGAUGAAGUUUAACUUUGGACAUGUUAGUUCUUAAAUUUUGAACAAACCAAAGUCAGUGGGAUACUUUGAAGUAUUCUAAAGUUAAAAUGGAAAUUAAGAUUUCAUGGUAAGUGGCAGUCUCAUGUUUACUGUUAAAAUAGUAUAACAUCUGCGUGGGAAGAAAAAAUGUACAACAGACAGUGGCGAGGUGAUGGAGGAGCCAGACAUAUGGAAAGUUCCAGGUGCCUGUAGACACAGCCUGAGAAUUCUCAAAUACUCAACCUUCUUUAUUUGGUACAUAUACUGUCAUCCACCAAAGUCCUCCUAUUUUGCAGACCAAAAAUAUUAAUGUUUCCAACAUCACUACCCCUUAUAUUUAUACCAAAAUCUCCCACAAUGUGUGAAAUACAGUUUAUUCAAGCCUAAGCACCAUGAUAGUAGCCAUCGUCUCUUUGUGUUAACUAUAUCAUAUGACCUUUCCUAAAAUAUUACAAAGAGGAAUUUCUACUAGAUAAUUUGUGGUUUGUAAAACCAUGAAUUUUUGAAGGGAAAGAAAUGGCAGUUAAUUGAAGCAUCAUUGUCUUCAGUGUGAAAACAGUCUGGGAUGCCAGCCUUGGCGGGCAGUGUCUUUGACUCAGUUUCAUUUUCUUUGCUUGCUUUGUUGUCACCCUCGGGCUUCUUUCUGGUUCCAUCUCUUUUUUGUCUCCCUUUGACUCCCCUAUUGUAUUCCAGUUGGCAGUUACAGAACAGAAACAGAGCAAUAAGACCGCAUGGUUACAUUUUCCCAGUGCCACCAACUGGGAGUUAAGCUGACUAACAUUUCGAAAGCCCAGCCCAUUUCAUUCACAGCAGGCAUGGCAGG